GACGAACGUUGGCGGCGCGCUUAACACAUGCAAGUCGAACGGAAAGGCCUGCUUUCCCUUGUGGAUUGCGGGUACUCGAGUGGCGAACGGGUGAGUAACACGUGAGUGAUCUGCCCCCAACUUGGGUAUAAGCCUGGGAAACUGGGUCUAAUUCCCGAUAGGACUGCAGGGUGGUGCCUGUGGUGGAAAACGAUUUUCUAGUGUUUGGGGAUGAGCUCGCGGCCUAUCAGCUUGUUGGUGGGGUAAUGGCCUACCAAGGCGGGGACGGGUAGCCGGCCUGAGAGGGUGGACGGCCACAUUGGGACUGAGAUACGGCCCAGACUCCUACGGGAGGCAGCAGUGGGGAAUAUUACACAAUGGGCGGAAGCCUGAUGCAGCGACGCAGCGUGGGGGAUGACGGCCUUCGGGUUGUAAACUCCUUUCGACCGCGAGGAAGCCACCUGGUUGGAAGGGUGGUGACGGUAGUGGUAGAAGAAGCACCGGCUAACUACGUG
rnacentral:rRNA from 1 species